rnacentral:rRNA from 1 species
AUGGCGAACAAGAAAGACAGGAGGUCUCUGGAUGGCAUGGCCAUGGUGCGCAAGAGGUCGCCGCCGGGGCCAACAACGCUGCAUGAGGUCCCCGACAAGCUCCUCGAGCUCAUCCUCCUUCACUUGAGCUCGCCGCUCUGGCUCAUCCACGCCGCCGCCACAUGCAAGCGGUGGCGCCGCAUCAUCGUCGACAGAAGGUUCCUAUGUAACAUUUCCAACCGCGACCCCUCAUCCGUUGUUGCAGGCCACUACCAUAACCACGCGUCCCCUGUCGACGGCCGUCGCCUCGUCUUUGUUCCCUCUUCGCCGGCGCUUGCUGUCGGUAGCCACCACUUCUCCCUCGACUUCCUCCCCGCAGGGGGCGGCACCUCAUGGGAGAUCAUCGACAGCUGCCACAGCCUCCUCCUCCUCGCCAAGAGGAAAACCGGGUGGAGACGCCACUGCUUGCCGGACCUCCUCGUCUGCGAGCCGGUCACGCAGCGCUACAGGCUAAUCCCGCGCAUGGAGCACAUGAAAUACGAGCGCUGCCUCACUGUAUUCCUCCACGGCUGCCAUAGCAGAGGAGCUACCACGAGGAGAGGCCACACCAUUGAUGUCAUGUUGAAGUUCAAGGUGAUCUGUGUUCUCCACCGUGAAUACACCAGAAUAUCUGAUAAGAUUAGCGUGAUGAACCCCUUCGUGUUCGAACGGAGCUAUAGGGGGAGGCCUGGAUGGUACGUCAGGCACCGGCCCAUGGACGAGCCCCGAAUCCGCCAAGAUGGCACUACAGAGCCCCUGCAUUUCCUUGGUCGUGCCACCAGCUCUCUGUUCUGGGCCCUGAAGGACGAUGUCUCAUCCCUGCUAGCCUACAAUUUCCAUUGGAGAAACGCGUUUGAAGUCCUUCCAUUGCCGGACCACAUCCAAGGGCUGCCUUCCCGAGCCUUCCGCAACGAUGACGGCGAGGCGUGCCUUGUUUGUUUGCAGGGCAGCAGCCUCCACGUCUUUGCGUAUAAUGAUGGCGACUGGGACCUUGAGGAGAGCCUUGAGUUGAUGGAGGCCAGUCGUGGGCUGGAAGGGCACAAGGAUGAGUAUUUCCGGGUGCCUAUGAAGAUUGUCACGGCCAGCACGAUGUCUAUCGUGCUUUCACCGGCAGACCAGACAUGGCAAUUCUCAGUCGAUCUUGAGACAAUGGAGGUGACGAGAUACAAAACCAAGACUCAGGGUUCUCCAAGUGUGUCUUAUCCAUGUGAGCUUCCAUGGCUACCUGCUAUCCAUGCUUGUAUGGUGCGCUGUAGAAGAGGGGGCAGUUUCCCGUGUACUCACAUUUGUAGAUGUUGA